UCCGUAGGCGGAUUGAUAAGUCAGAGGUGAAAUCCCACAGCUUAACUGUGGAACUGCCUUUGAAACUGUUAGUCUUGAGUUAUAUGGAAGUAGAUAGAAUGUGUAGUGUAGCGGUGAAAUGCAUAGAGAUUACACAGAAUACCGAUUGCGAAGGCAGCCUACUACGUAUAUACUGACGCUAAUGGACGAAAGCGUGGGGAGCGAACAGGAUUAGAUACCCUGGUAGUCC
rnacentral:rRNA from 1 species